rnacentral:rRNA from 1 species
CCCCAACCCGAUUGUGGAUGGUGUUGGCGUAUAAUCUUUCGUACAACUAAACGACUCUCGGCAACGGAUAUCUCGGCUCUUGCAUCGAUGAAGAACGUAGCGAAAUGCGAUACUUGGUGUGAAUUGCAGAAUCCCGUGAACCAUCGAGUCUUUGAACGCAAGUUGCGCCUGAAGCCAUUAGGCUGAAGGCACGUCUGCCUGGGCGUCACGCAUUGCGUCACCCGCUCUCCCGUGCCUAAGCGUGCACGCCGGGGUGAGGGUGGAUACUGGCCCCCCGUUCACGUUUGGUGGUCGGUCGGCCUAAAAGAUAGUCCCCAACGACGGACAUCACGACAAGUGGUGGUUGCUAAAUCGUCGCGUCAUGUUGUUGGGAUGCCAUUGUUUGUUGCGGGUUGGCUCGUUGACCCUGAAGGUGCUAGCACCUGCGGCACCUCA